AAAGGUGCUUCUCAGGGCAGCUAUCAGAAGAAGCUGGUCUGAUACCAGCAGCAGAUCCCAUCUGGUUGCUGUGUCAAAUAGCAGUUGCUCUGAUAAACUGGGUAAAAGAAAAAGGGAGAGCAGGAUCAGGAGAAGAGAGGUACCUUAGGCCAAGUGCUGGCUGCUGAUUGAGCAGAAAGGGGUUAUUUGGUUGAGACAGUGGUCUCUAUGUGGAAUUUCUGACAUUUUUUUAUUCAAGUAACUUUCAGCAACUUUUUUUUUCCCCACCAAAAAUUUCUCAAGUUGAUUAUGUAGUACCAUCAGUGUCAGUAUGCUGCAUCCAGUGACUCCUGAGUGUUUAGUGGGUUGGUGAUACUUUAGCUGGAGGCUUUGGGUAAGCGAGUUAUGAAUGCAGGCUGCUGGCUGUCUUUCCAUGCAAUCGUUCUGAUGGCUUUAUGAUACAGACCAAAAAUGCUUCUUUUUGUUUUAAAGCUUUAAUCCUUUUCAUGGAAAUGUUGAAGAAAAUCUGAACUGCGGAGUGAGAUAUUUUUGUUCUGUUUAGUUAAAUUCUCAUCCAGCAUCAGCAUGUGAUCUCAGAACUAUUUCUGUAACACCUACAAGUAGGACAUUAUAGGACUCUGCAGAUCACAGAAGGUUUAAAACCUGUGGCUGUAGGAGGUGAUGUUUGUAACAUGGUUUUCAUGAUAUCGCAGAGGUUGGGAGGAAUGAGAAAGGGUCUUUGCAAAGGUCAGGUCUCUGUCACAGUGUGGAUGGAGUCAUUGGGCACAGGUGUCUGCUUGCAAGGGGGCUUCGAGGUUAAAGGUACAGCUAUGUUCCUCAGAGAUUUUCCUUGUGGCUUCCCACUGCAUGAGUGCUUCAGGAGCAGACAACAGACUGCUGCCUUCAGCAUCAGGAACAGUCAGCAUUGAGGCUAUGUGUCAGGACCCUGUGUGGGAAUCUUAGGAGGGGAAUUGUGCACCUUCAGAACCAAAAAGUUGAACUUUUCAAAGGCUUUUGUGAAAGAGGAGUUAAACCUGCUUUUGGCAGGGUGGUGGAGCAGGCCUGGGGGUUUUGGCUGUUAACAUAUAUUCAGAUCCUUGUUUUUGCAGGGUGAGAUGGGCCAUUUCAGAAGUCUGGGCAAGGAAAAGUGGUAGCGUUUGAACCCUGUGUUCUCAUUCCAGGUUGGCACUGAGAACCACACCAGCAGCCAAGGGGAGGGUGCAGAGAGGAUGGAGCCAAACUCUUCUCAAAGGCACGUGUUGGAAGAAGGAGCAGCAGUAGGCAGAAAUUUAUACAAGGGAGAUUCAGGUUAGCUAUUAUAAGACAUUUUUUCCACCAUGAGUAUAGCCAAACAGUAUUGGAACAAGGCCUCCCACCCUCCCUUAUUUUGUACUUCUCUGUUAAUCCUCUGGUGUAUAAAAUAUUGCUCCACCUCAUGCUACACUGCAUAAUACAUAACAAGGGAUAGAGAGUGUUAUCCUACCAGUGCAUUUCCAAUUAGUUUUGGGUUGUUUUUUUUUUCAUUUAUCAAUAUUUAAUCCAUGAAAUAGCAUCUUGUGUGGCACAGUCUAUGGAGAAAUCCAGCUGCUCCCCAUGCGUGAGUGCAGCUGCCAGGUUCCUGUUUCCAUUAGACUAAAUCAAGCUGUAUUUUUUGUGUUACUUUUAGUAUUAUCAUGUGAAAAUGGGCAGCUUUAAUGGGCUUCCUAGUUUAUAUCAGUUAAGCUUUUGAAACAUAUUCAGGUAUCUCUUCAAUACUGCUGUGUAAGUUCCUUAUUUAAUCUGACAUAUUCCAGUUUAUUAUUUUACUGCAGUUAUCUAAGGCAGUACUUUAAAAAAUCAGUGCAUUCAUUUUUUGCAGACUGUCAACUAUUUUAAGCCUCCAGCUUUACUUAGUUUUUGUCAAUGUACUUAACCCCCUCUCCCCCUCAGAUAUAUGGUUGUCUCCACUAUUUUUAUGUUGCAGUGAAGCUUAUUUAUUUACAAACUCCUCUUAUCUUUGCAGUCAGACCUAAUACUAUUGGCUCUGAAACUGUGAAACUACUUAGAAAUGAAAAAUGAAGCUAGAUUGGUCAGCUCUACGGCCGGUUAUAGAAUGGAAAAAGUAGCAGCAUAAAAGGAGAAAAAUACAAUUUACAUUACUCAGUCUGGGGUGUGGAGAGGAAUCACAAGACUAUGGCUGAGAAAUUUCUUGGAAAUUAGUUUUAACCUGAUGAUGCUCCUUUGCUGGUUCCCCAUCUGGUCAAGUUUAAAAGCUGUUUCUUGAGACCAAGAAGUUUGUCUGGGGUCUGUUCAUUCAUUUAUGUGUCUAAGGCAUUGGUUUGAUGUGGGAGUUUGUGCUCCCUUGAUGUUCUGUUCUUAGAGUUUACAUGUCUAAGGAAACUCUAUGGGUUACUGUGAAGCUUUUAUUUAAUACUUUGUUGCAUGUAAGUUGGUAACUGAACACAGUUCUUCGCUUAAAGAGGUGAGGGCUGGUGAGGAGGAGGAAGGUGCCAUUUUGUCAAGGAGGCUGGCAGUGCAAUUCUCCUUGUGACAGCUUUGAUACUGGCAAGACGUGUGAAGCCUCGUCACCCCUGCGGCUGUCUCCUUGUCCACAGGGUGCUUUCAAUCAGCUGCACCCAUGCCAGAGUCAAGAUGAAUUAGUCUUAAGUGUUCUCUAAAAACACAGGGAUGUUUGUUUGCACAGGCUGAGGGCAAACCGGAUCCCUGAUGUAGAUGCAGGGAAUGAUGUUGUAGGUGGUCCACAGGUACUUUUCUUGUGUGUUAGAAGGUUUCCUAAACCAGGGUUAUGCUCUUUUGGGGAGCAGCCCAUGUGGAGAGCAGGUGAAUUCUGUAUGGAGUGUAGAAUUUUGUCAUACCCUUUGCUUGAGACUAAUUCCUUUUGCCUCCUCUAAAGCACUUGCCUGGACAGAAACUGACAUGCAACAGCUUCCAGGGCUACACUGUAACAGGGCAAGUGCCUGUGAGAAAUAGUUUGAAGCAAAAGGAGAGUGUUGUCAUUCAAAUGAUGCAUGUUUCUUUGUGUUCAUGUAUGUAAAAUUGCUAACAGUUAGGAGAUAGGAUUAUUCCCACCAAGGGGUGCAAGAGUAAUCCUUCUUGGUGGUAAAACAGGGACUUUUCUGAAUAAGCUCUUUUAAAAGCUCAGUUAGGAAGAGAAUAAUAUGCAGCCGUAUGUUCGUGUGGUAAUGUAUUCCUCACCUUGUGCCCCAGGCCUACAGGGAGGGUUAGUGAAGGACAAGAGAAGCCUUUAUCAGAGGUUAGCUCACAGGAAUGAAAGCAAGCUAUUUAAAGUAUUGCUUUUGUCUGAGAAGUGAAGGGAACCAAUGCAGUUUUCCCCUAAGUCUCUGGUACCUUAAACACUAGCUGAAGCUCCUAUGAGCUGAGCCCCAGUUGUCUCCGAAGCUGCCCUCUGUCCCUCCCUUUCCCCAACGUCACCCCCCUCUUUCCUGUACAACACUGUGAAUAUGACACCGGUAGCUCUUUUUAACGUUUCCAUUUGAACUGCUCAGAGCAUGAAAUGCUGUCCUACGCUGUCACACAGUGACGCUGUAGCAGAUGAGCUGUGAUAGAGAGCCCUGUUCAGCUGAACAAUAACCCCCAGACAGGGCACUGAUGGUUGAGCACUUCCUUGCAGAGCAAUGGAGGAGCAUUGUAACAAGGAUUAACAAUGUUAGGUGGCUUUGCAUAGCAAUUUACUAAUCAAAUUUGUUUUCAUAACAAACUAAACUGACAAUCAAUUUCUAAAAUAUAAACGCCUCUUAGAGGGAAUAGUCAAGUAUGUCUUCAACAGAAAGAUUUAACUGGGAUAACUUUUAAUGAAGAGCACAGCAUUUGUUUCCCUUUUUUUCUUUUUGAGCAAUCACUCUGGAAAUGGAGUCACAUCCAGCAGCAGAAGAUUCACAGGACUGUAACUACCUCUCUCUCGCAGAGUGCUGAGGUUACCACACUACACACUCUAUCAGCAAAGCUUUCCCUUAAAAGAGAUUUGUUUUCCUUACCUCUGUGUUUCAGAAAUGCAGGUCUGCUCUGUAAAGUGACUCUGAAAAUGGCAUCUGGCAGGAGCAGGAGGAAGCCUUUCAGGGCCCAUUGUCCCUCUUUGCCACCAGUUUCUUGCUGUGACCCUUGCAGGUUUGCUCUGGGGCUGUGACAGUUCAAGGUGGAUUCACUACUUCAUGUAUCCUGUGUAAUAGCGAACUGUCCCACAGGCCAAAGGCUGCUGCCAGAGCUGCAAGACUGCAGGCUCCACUUCCUGCGUUGGGGAAUUAGGUAAUGGUGUGGAAGGUAAAGGGAGAAUCCAUCUCCCUCCUGCCUCCAGGGGAGCAGGCAGCAGUAAAAAAAGCAAUAAAAUAUAAAACACUUUUAUAUGUUGUUCAUUAGUCAGCAGAUCUGACUCUGCAAAUUUAUAUAUAUAUAUAUAUAUCUAUACACAAACACAUUCAGAGAGCAGAUCUCUCAUGUGAAAAGGUGCCAUUUUUUUUCUAAACAGAGUCCCUUUCCAAACUAGAACAGCACUUUAAAUAGGUUCCUCUAAAAAAAAGAAAAAAAAAACAAAAAAAAAAACAAAAAAAAAAUCUAAAAAUUAAAAAAAAUAAAACCCACCAUAAAAAACCCUUUACUGAAGAGAUGCACUUUAAAUCAUAAGAUGAGUAUGGCUGUUGCUGGCCUUGAGACACAGCUGUACAGGUAGGUGGCUUCUUGUCAGCCAGAGCCUGGGAGGGAGCGAUGUUGCCAGACCCUCGGCUGCCACUGGCAGCCCAAAAACUACCGCAGCUCUACCUCCCGCUCCCGCAGCCCUCCCGGCCUGGCACUGCCCCUGCCGACACUGCAGACAGGAGUUCCCACCGCAGCCACAGCCCUGGUUGCAGCUCAGCCAUGCUGUAGCACUAACAGGACCGGCAUGCAGUGGCCUGUUAGGACACUUUUGUAAUGGGUCAAGAAAAACCCACCCUUGUCUGUAAAAAGUAAACCCCAUUUAUAACAGGUCAGAAGUUACACCCAGUUACAACACAGCAGAGGGCCCAUGCGCCUGCACUGGGCUGAGCUAAGUUGAAUGAGCAAAGCCAGGACAAAGUUGUUACUGGGGUUGUGGGUUCAGUGUUUUGGGUUUUUUUUUUUUUCCCAUGACAUGGAUAUGGAGCCCUAGUCAGUUCAGUUUUGUUUGUUUGUCUUUUUAAAUCCAAAUUCAUGUGUCCCACAUCAGUUCUGCUCUGAACUGGGUUGCAGAGCAACCAUCUGUAAGAAUUGUGCCGUCACCUUCAACUGUUGACCUAUAUAUCAAGCUUUUUAGGACAGGUGUCCUAACAUUCAAGACUUACUUUCCCAGUUAAGAAAUUUCCUGCUGUACUAAUUCUCUUAUUUUAUUUUUGGUUGCAAUCCUUAUUUCAAGAAAAAGAAAAGUCAGUGUUCACACUAGUCUGCAGUAGGUUGAAGUGUGAGCCUGCUGUGUGCAACUUGUGGAUAGCAGACUGUUCUUCAAUGACUUUUACAAGCUGUUCCCAAGCUGGCUAUCCACCAUUGCUUUCCUUCUCCUCUUCCAGUGGGAGCUGGCAGGCAGAAGCUCUUUGGAGUGGCUGCUGGCUCUAUGGCCAGUGGCUUCCAGGGAUGGCCAGUGCUGCUGGAGGAGGGGCAGGCAAGGGUGGUAAGAGAACCAGAGCUGGGGAAGGGGGGGAAAUAAAACCAAGGUAGAGGCGACUGUACAAUUGCAUUGAAAGCAGUUUAGCAAAAGCGCUCUCGUUGGACAGCUUUAAGAACAAUGUGAAUGAAAACUUAGCAACUUGGGUAGGAAUCUGAAAAUUCUAUAAAUGUAUACUUGAAAUUCUGUUUGUAUAAAAAAAUUUGCAUUUUCUUCUUUCUUUUAACACUGUGUAAAAGAACAUUAUGCAUGUGAGUGGUUUGAGAAUUAAAUGGUUUAAUACU